ACAGGUGAUGCUAGCGAGCAGUUUUUGAUAACUUACAGCAGAGUUUUGAUGUCACAACUGAACUUUAUGUUUGGUGUUUUUUGGAGAUCUGCCAGAAUGGUUUGUUGUGUAAGGGUGAAAUAUGGCAAUAGGGGAUGAUGAAACCUUGAUACCCUCCACACCACCUACCCUCUUCUCAUUGCUAUUGUCAUAUCCAGCCAUACAGAAGCAUUGACAAAAGAUGGACUGACUUGCUAAAUGGAAUGUUUUAUGCCCUACUUACGCGGUGACCACAGGUGAUGACACAGCAGUUUUUUUUUUUAGCCUGCCCCAGGUAGCAAUGGUAAAGCAGUCGGGAGUCCGUGAAGCAUGAUAUGUCAGCGCUCUCACCACACCCCCCUCCCCCGCUGUCAUCUGAUGUGGACACAGUCUAAGUCAUUACCAUCCAAAGCAACAUGUUGGCUAAUCCGGGCUCACCUGUCCUGUAAUGAGUUAUGCGCCCUCGGAGAACGCAACGACAGCUCCGGCUCUCACCUGAAGAGGAAGAAAUAAUUACAAAAAAAAAAAAAAAGAGAUAGAGGGAAGCAUCGCUGUGGAUAAAUGCAGGAAUCAAUAUCAUCAGCACUCAUCCUGGCCUUGUGGCAACCUGAUCCGGCCAAAUCCGGGCUGUGCUAAUGAACAGAUCAAAGACAACCUAGCCCUCCCGCGAAACAAUCACACAGCAAUCAAGGACACCCUUUCCAGCCAGUUCUGCAUGUGGGCAAUCAGAAGGUAAGAAAGAGUUGGCGCUUUUGAAGAACAGCGGUACUGUCCAAUGCAUGACCACUGCUCGCUUUAAUCGGUUUUACUGUUACUGUUUCCAUAUUUUUGAUAUUUGUCAAUAAAA